AUUGAACGCUGGCGGCAUGCUUUACACAUGCAAGUCGAACGGUAACAGGCCGCAAGGUGCUGACGAGUGGCGAACGGGUGAGUAAUGCAUCGGAACGUGCCCAGUCGUGGGGGAUAACUACUCGAAAGAGUAGCUAAUACCGCAUACGAUCUAUGGAUGAAAGCGGGGGACCGUAAGGCCUCGCGCGAUUGGAGCGGCCGAUGUCAGAUUAGGUAGUUGGUGGGGUAAAGGCUCACCAAGCCAACGAUCUGUAGCUGGUCUGAGAGGACGACCAGCCAUACUGGGACUGAGACACGGCCCAGACUCCUACGGGAGGCAGCAGUGGGGAAUUUUGGACAAUGGGCGCAAGCCUGAUCCAGCAAUGCCGCGUGCAGGAAGAAGGCCUUCGGGUUGUAAACUGCUUUUGUACGGAACGAAACGGCUCUGGUUAAUACCCGGGGCUAAUGACGGUACCGUAAGAAUAAGCACCGGCUAACUACGUG
rnacentral:rRNA from 1 species